UAGGGAAUCUUCCGCAAUGGGCGAAAGCCUGACGGAGCAACGCCGCGUGAGUGAUGAAGGUCUUCGGAUCGUAAAACUCUGUUAUUAGGGAAGAACAAAUGUGUAAGUAACUAUGCACGUCUUGACGGUACCUAAUCAGAAAGCCACGGCUAACUACGUGCCAGCAGCCGCGGUAAUACGUAGGUGGCAAGCGUUAUCCGGAAUUAUUGGGCGUAAAGCGCGCGUAGGCGGUUGUUUAAGUCUGAUGUGAAAGCCAACGGCUCAACCGUGGAGGGUCAUUGGAAACUGGAAAACUUGAGUGCAGAAGAGGAAAGUGGAAUUCCAUGUGUAGCGGUGAAAUGCGCAGAGAUAUGGAGGAACACCAGUGGCGAAGGCGACUUUCUGGUCUGUAACUGACGCUGAUGUGCGAAAGCGUGGGGAUCAAACAGG
rnacentral:rRNA from 1 species